rnacentral:RNase_MRP_RNA from 10 species
CUGCACUUGGAAGACUUGCUAUCUAAGUCACUAUGGACAUCAUAUGAUCCUAUGGCUUAGGGGAAAGUCCCCGGACAUUGGGUAGAAAGUACCUGGGGUUUGAAACCCCACACCUGAUCCAAACCACCUGGGUGUAAAAGCUCAUGAUCAAGCUAAGAUGCGUUGCGGAGCUUGUGGGUAUGGUUGGGCUUAGUCGUAGCAUAGAUAUGCAAGUAGUUCACAAACACAAUGGGGCUCACUCUUCAAGUGUA